rnacentral:rRNA from 1 species
GACGAACGCUGGCGGCGUGCCUAAUACAUGCAAGUCGAGCGGGCCUCCGGAGGUGCUUGCACCUCCGGAAGGCCAGCGGCGGACGGGUGAGUAACACGUGGGCAACCUGCCUUUGAGGCCGGGAUAACACCGGGAAACCGGUGCUAAUACCGGAUGCGUCCGCUUUCGCGCCUGCGAGAGGGGAGAAAGACGGUCUUUAAGGCCGUCGCUCAAAGAGGGGCCCGCGGCGCAUUAGCUGGUUGGUGGGGUAAGGGCCUACCAAGGCGACGAUGCGUUGCCGACCUGAGAGGGUGAUCGGCCACACUGGGACUGAGACACGGCCCAGACUCCUGCGGGAGGCAGCAGUAGGGAAUCAUCCGCAAUGGGCGAAAGCCUGACGGUGCAACGCCGCGUGAGUGAGGAAGGUUUUCGGAUCGUAAAGCUCUGUUGUGAGGGAAGAACAGCUUCCGGAGGAAAUGCCGGGAGCCUGCCGGUACCUCACCAGAAAGCCCCGGCUAACUACGUGCCAGCAGCCGCGGUAAAAC